rnacentral:rRNA from 1 species
UACGAAGGGGGCUAGCGUUGUUCGGAAUUACUGGGCGUAAAGCGCACGUAGGCGGACUACUAAGUCAGGGGUGAAAUCCCGGGGCUCAACCCCGGAACUGCCUUUGAUACUGAUAGUCUCGAGUCCGGAAGAGGUGAGUGGAAUUCCGAGUGUAGAGGUGAAAUUCGUAGAUAUUCGGAGGAACACCAGUGGCGAAGGCGGCUCACUGGUCCGGUACUGACGCUGAGGUGCGAAAAGCGUGGGGGAGCAAACAGGG